rnacentral:rRNA from 1 species
UACGUAGGGUGCAAGCGUUGUCCGGAAUUAUUGGGCGUAAAGAGCUCGUAGGCGGUUUGUCGCGUCUGCUGUGAAAGCGCCUGGCUUAACCGGGCGAGGUCGGCGGAAACUCUCAGACUGGAGGCCGGUAGAGGGGGGUGGAAUUCCCGGUGUAGUGGUGAAAUGCGUAGAGAUCGGGAGGAACACCUGUGGCGAAGGCGGCCCCCUGGGCCGGCCCUGACACUGAGACGCGAAGGCGUGGGGAGCGAACGGG